AAGAUAAGUUAUCUUUAUCAAUAUUAAUGUACACUAAUUUCUGAAUUAUUCGCAUACAAUCAUAAAUUUCCAAUGUUUUUCUUUUUUAAUAGCGAAAAAAUGAAUUGAAAAAAGUCUGAAAACUAAAGCGCGGAUGUCAAUGCGCAAAAAAUUGACGCUUUCGUUUUUUACGGCCUUGUUUUAACAAUUGUUUGAUUCGUUGAAUUUACUCAGCGGGUACGCUUGAAGAUAUUUUAGGAAUAUUCCUUCAUUAAAUUUAAUCUGCACGUCGUUUCGCAAAACACGUAGAAACGAAGCGAGAAAUGUUGAAAUUGAUAUGAAAUCAUAUAAUUGAAGAAAUGCUGAAACAAUAAUAUUUGCUGGUUCGUCAGGUAUUUUAUGAUAUCAUUUCUCAAAAUGCAGCAACAACAGACAUUCCGGUAUUUAUUUUGUGUGAUAACAAUUAUCUAUAUGUGGUUUUCGGGUCGUCGUGAUAUUUCCGGAUUAAGCUCGACCGAGAUUACAAAAUAGUCAAUCGGUCACACGUGCGUGCAAGGAUGAGAAUCCAUAGGUGAAAGGAACACAAAACGCGACGGCAAUGCGUGCUACAGGAAUCCGGCUUUUCGAGGUGAAGGGAUUCCAUUGCGGGCUCACAUAUCGAGCUCACGACGGAAAUGCGAUUGUUUGUGUGUGCGAGUAAUGCCAUAUGGAUCCCGGCGACGAUAUCAUCAUCAUCUGUUACGAUCAAUCAUGCGCAUUAAUAAUUAUCAAUUCUCAAGUGGAUCUUGGCGAAGGAAUUCACGAUUGAGGAAUUACAAGCUUGUUCUGUGUGUCAUACCUGAUUGUGUGUAUCAAUGAUAUUGCGCGACAUGGUGUUCAGUGUGAUUAUUGUAAACGGAAUAUUGAGAUAUGUCUAGCGUGACGAUCGACACAUUUCUGAACGAUAAGGUCGUGGCGAUCACAAGUGCGCGUGACGAGAAAUGAUGA